UACAGGGGGGGCAAGCGUUGUUCGGAAUUACUGGGCGUAAAGGGCUCGUAGGCGGCCAACUAAGUCCGACGUGAAAUCCCAAAGCUUAACUUUGGAACUGCGUCGGAUACUGGAUGGCUUGAAUUCGGGAGAGGGAUGCAGAAUUCCAGGUGUAGCGGUGAAAUGCGUAGAUAUCAGGAGGAACACCGGUGGCGAAGGCGGAUCUCUGGGCCGUAACUGACGCUGAGGAGCGAAAGCAUGGGGAGCGAACAGG
rnacentral:rRNA from 1 species